UACGAAGGGGGCUAGCGUUGCUCGGAAUCACUGGGCGUAAAGCGCACGUAGGCGGCAUCUUAAGUCAGGGGUGAAAUCCUGGAGCUCAACUCCAGAACUGCCUUUGAUACUGAGGAUCUUGAGUUCGGGAGAGGUGAGUGGAACUGCGAGUGUAGAGGUGAAAUUCGUAGAUAUUCGCAAGAACACCAGUGGCGAAGGCGGCUCACUGGCCCGAUACUGACGCUGAGGCACGAAAGCGUGGGGAGCAAACAGG
rnacentral:rRNA from 1 species